AUGAGUGUCAGCCAUGCAAGAGAGCAGCAAAAGAGGACAAAGAAAAUCAGAGCAGGCUCUGGUCUAGUCUUAGAUUCAGGAGGUGAUGAGCUUUUAAGAAGACUGUGGACUCGACAGUCAGCAGCUUUCACGAGAAGAAAACGCAGCCCCAUGGAUGGGAAUGAAGACAUAGCUCACCCCAUAGACCCCCACAGACUGUUCCUGCUCUGCGGUCUCUGUGCAGCAUAAGGUCAAAGACUUUCUCAAGCUUUCACAACUUUCCUGCUUCUGUUCAAAAGGCCCCUGUUUUGCACCCCAUGCUCAGUUGCCCUGUGUGUAGCCAGUUGCGGGUAAAAGAGGCUGCACUUUCUAGACAGCUAACAGAAGUGGGGUUGUUCCCAUUUCACAGGUUGGGAAUUUUAUCAAAAUGUUCAAGAAAAAAGAUCAUAACAAGAGAUCUGCUUGGUAGAAGCAGUUAUUGCUCUUUAUAAAAAGCUGUAUAUUGCAUACAUUUAUUGACAAACUGUACAAGUAUGAACUGCUAGUAAUGAAAAGGCACUUGGCACAAUCAAUUACAUAGAUACUCAUUUGAUUCAUUGUUGUUGCUCUUUAUUGUUCUACCAGUGAUUUACUGAAGUUUGUUAAUUAGUCCAUUUUUUCCCAUUUCCAGUGGUAAAAUCUUUGAAAGAGUUUCUAUAAAGCUUUCAUUUCAAUGCAUAAGCCAAAAACUAGUAAGUUACGGUGUUCAGAUGCUCUUCACAAAACUCCCAGCAGUGAUGCAGUACAGAGUUGCACAAGUCAAAGCAUCUAAUUUUGCAUCUAAUUCACAAAGAAAUAAGCCAAACAGUAGUGGUUAAUUGCCUGGAGAACUGGUGGUAAUAUGUGAUUAUAUGCUAGCUAACUUGCCAGAUAAAAGGAAACAUAGCAAGCACAAGGCUAGCAUCUCUUGAAGGGAAUAUGGAUGACCCAGUUUACUGCUAGAAGAGAAACCAUUUGUUUUCUGUUUGCCUUGCAAAGAGGUAGGGACUUUGCAGUUGCGAGUUGGGUUUUUGAGUUUUAUAUAUGUGAAAAUCUUAUCUUCUGCUCUUUUGUGAUGUGGGAUAAAAUUAGCCCUCAGAAAGAGGAACAGAAAAAGCAUUAAAAUAGCUGUUUUAGCUGAAAGUGAUAAUAGAAUCUACUGCACUCAUCAUUGCUGUUGGUAAUGUAAAGACUUGUACUGUAGAUGCAACAGUGUUAGGAUGAUUUUGUUUUUAGGUAAUUUCUAUGAUUUAUCCAUUAUGUGCAAAGUAUGUUGUUACUUUCAAAAAGUCUUUAUUUGUUUUGUUGUUUUAUAGCAGUUACUCAUUUAUUACAGUUGAAGGAACUGUGUAGCAUAAAAAUGGUUCAUACUGCACGAUUAAAUUGGCUAUAAUUAGCAAUUUACCACACAUUGUUUUAAAGGGACUGAAUAAUUUUAGCUAAGAUUAUUGUUCAUGGGAUGAGAAUCCUGCACAAAUUGCUUUCCCCAAACAAAAAUUGGUAAUCAGUUUUAAAUAUCUAAAACAAAUUUUAUGAGAUUAUGUAAUGUUGUGCUCGCUGUAUUAUAAGGAAGAAAACAAUGCCUUGGUUAAAUGGCUAGGAUAUUUUAAUGUCAAUGAAAGACUGUGGUGAAUUUUAUUAUGCAAUAUUUGAGAGCUUAAAGUGUAAUAGCCAUAUUUCAAAAUAGCAAUUAGCAUACCAACCAAAAAUGAAGGUUACAUUUUAGAAAGAAACUAAGCUCCCAAAAAAUUAAACUUACCUUGUAUUCGGACUACUCAGGCACUGAUUCUCUGGGGAAGGACUGGGAAUUUUCUGUGAUAGUCUCCAACCUGUAACUUGUGUUCACCAUGUCCUGGGAAGCUCAGUGCAGGAUGCCAGCCCGGAGAGCCUCCGUGAAGGGGCUAGAGACAGGCCUGGCCUUCAUUUCAUCCAGGUGAAAGAGGAGAAUUCUGUGCUGGUGCAGGGCUUAGGGCUCCCAAACAGGAGAAAAAACAAAUGGGAACAAAAGGUAUUAAAUAUUCGUAGGCCUGAAACCAUGAAAUGCAACAAGAACCACAACUUUGUGGAGAAGCAGGGGUGACCCAAGCACGUUUUUGGUGCCCUUUUUGGAAGAUCAUUGGGUUCUAACCCUUUAGGGGUCAGUACAGUCAUAAUUUUAUAAGCUGCAUAGAGUAAAUAAGAAUUAAGAGAAGAUCUUUUUUUUUUUCUUCUGGCACUGCAUUUCAUUGGUUCCUUCUUUUUUUAUCAUGACACAGCUAAGAGGCAGUUCCCUGAAUAUGGCUGUUUCUCUCUUCUAUCUUAGAUAAAGACAGGUACUACUCUAAACCCUAGGUGAGAAAUUUUGCAUAGUUCAUUCCCAUCUCGCGCAGCCUGCGAGAGAAUUAUCACAUUGCCGUCUCCACCAUGUCCCUGUUUACUGCUGCAUUCAAUAACAGUAGAUUCACUAGUGUCUUUUUUUUCCCUGUAAUGUUCCUCAGUUGACACUGACUUUUAAAUUGUUAUAAUUUUGCUCUUUCAUUAACACCUUAUUUUGACAAACAGGAUCAGUUCACACCUCUGAAUAGCUGUGUCAGCCUGUCCGCAGCCCUCAACAGGCCUCACUGUAAAGCUAACCAAAUCCUUUGAAGGUUAUUGUGUCCAGCAUGUGGACUAGCAAUUUGGGGCUGGUGAAGCUAAGAUUCUGGAGUACAAUUAUGCAGGAACGUGAACUAGAAAGAAUAAUUAUGCAGGCAUUUUUGCAGCUGCAUAAUUGCUUUAUACAGUAGGUCAUGAUUGUGCUGCAGUAAUAAAUUGUAAUGUUGUCCAUGCCUUUUAAAAUGU
rnacentral:lncRNA from 1 species